UACAGAGGGUGCAAGCGUUGUUCGGAAUUAUUGGGCGUAAAGGGCGCGUAGGCGGUGCCACAAGUCACCUGUGAAAUCUCCGGGCUUAACUCGGAGCCUGCAGGCGAAACUGUGGUGCUGGAGUGUGGGAGAGGUGCGUGGAAUUCCCGGUGUAGUGGUGAAAUGCGUAGAUAUCGGGAGGAACACCAGUGGCGAAGGCGGCUUCCUGGCCUGUUCUUGACGCUGAGGCGCGAAAGCUAGGGUAGCAAACGGG
rnacentral:rRNA from 1 species